CAACCCUCAGGCCCUAGCCGGCCUGGCGUUGGGGCAUCUGCGGGUGACCGCAGGCCCUGAAAGAUAGUGGCGGUGUCCGCUAGCACUCCGGGCGCAGUAGGUGUCUUUCUCGCCGAGGACUGUCUUGCGGGCUGCCGGCCGUAAAACACCCCCUAAAGGAUGGAAGG
rnacentral:misc_RNA from 1 species